rnacentral:lncRNA from 1 species
UAAAAUUUAUUGAGGAAUUAAUAUUUUUAGGAAGAUAAAUCAUACAAAUUGAAAACAAAAGGGCUAACUUGAGGUGGGUAAGGGUUUGGAAUGGGCUUGGCCAACCUAAGGUGUGUAAAUAAACAUGAGGCUUUUCAUCAUCUUGUUUGGACUUGGGCUUCAACUUAAGCCCACAUCUCCAACUAAAACAAACAAAUGGGCAUGGGCCAACUUAAGAUGGGAAAACAAAACAAGGGACCUUUUAUCAACACAAACGGGCUUGGGCUCCAACUUAAGCCCACAUCUCCAACUAAAACAAACAAAUGGGCAUGGGCCAACUUAAGAUGGGAAAACAAAACAAGGGGCCUUUUAUCAACACAAACGGGCUUGGGCUCCAACUUAAGCCCAUAAGUCAAAACCUUGGGAGCCCACCAACAAGACCCACUGCCCAGAAUAUUAGUCAUGAAGAUCAAAGAGGAGGUUUCACCCAUUUUUUUUAAAACUUUAGGUUGAGGCUAAACCUAUCCGUAUCCUUCCAAGAAGGCCAUGCAUGCGUCCAAACGGCCAUGCAUAUGGGUCGUAUGUUCAAGAGAGAGGGUAAGAAAGAGAUUCAUGGGGAGAGGAACCGUGGGAUGAGUGGGAGAAGUGGAGUGAGGAAUGGGUAUGCAUGGGGAAUAUGUGGUGUAGAGAGAGAAAACGGGGUGGAUAAAAGAAAUGGGUAAGCAUGGGUGUUGAUAUGGCUAUGGUGGUGUAAUUCAUGGGGCAUGAAGGUAAAGAUUAUGGGAUGGGUGCGAUGGGUUGUAGAGAGAGAAAAGGUGGUGAUGGGUAUGUGAUGGUUUAGAGAGAGAGAGCGUGGGUAUAGGAGGGGUGGACUGGUUCGCAUGGUUCUUCAUGCGCAUGAGUGGGUGAUUUGGAGAGCCUUUGGGCAGCCAUGCGUGGUGCAAGAGGUGGGCUAUGGGUUGAUGGAAUGAGCAAGAUGGCUUAGGCCACUGACAGUGAAAGUGGAAAGAAGGAAAUAGGUUUGAUGGUGGGAUUAGAAAAUGGGUAUGAGGGAUGCAUGAAGAUGCGGACGCGCAGUGGACGGAUUGAGUGGGGAGCAUUUUAUCAAAUAUGAUGAACUCAUUUCAUUAAUUUAUCCAUG